rnacentral:rRNA from 1 species
AUCUUUAUAAUUUUACUUUCAAAUCCACCUUCAAUUAAUUUUUCAUAUUAAUAUUCAUUUAAAUAAUUUUAUUGUAAUUCAUUUCUACUUAAAUAUAAGCUACACCUUGAUCUGAAAUAAAUUUUUAUAAAAAUUUAAGAAAAUUGUUAUUCUUUUAAAAUAUUCUGAUAACGACGGUAUAUAAACUGACAAACAAAUUUAAGUAAGGUCCAACGCGGGUUAUCAAUUACAGAACAAAUUCCUCUGAAUAGACUAAAAUACCGCCAAAUUUUUUAAGUUUCAAGAACAUAUCUAUUAC